GUCUCUGAGUCAGAGAAAGAGACUGGAAGCCGGGAUUCAAACCUCCACUGCAGGAUGGACAGGUACAGAGGGAAGACCAUGUGAAGGCACAGGAAAAAGCCAGCUACCUGGAAGCCAUGGAGACAGGCCUCAGAAGAAACCAACCUUGUGGACACCCUGACCUCAGACUUCCAGCAUCCAGAACUAUGUAAAAUUUACCAUAAUCAGAAUUGGUACGAUAAAGAAGAUUCUGCAUGUUUAUGCCUCAGGGAGUCAUGACAAGGCCUUGGUGGAAUAACCAAUGCAGGAGGGGCCAAGAACUACUUUAUGAAGAGGAAGAUGAGGAUACUGACAGAGUAAAAUCAUGGAGAAAAUGGAAGAACUGAACGCAGACAUGAGAAGUUAAAUCACAGAAGAAAAGUUAAGCAGGAACUUGAGAGAGGGAUGAACUGUGACACAUUGUAAGAAGGAAGACCAGGACUCACCAGGAAAAUAAUAAAUUGUCCUUGAUCGUACAAAAGAAUGUGUUAAUGAAAUUUUCCUAAUAAAUGUAAGAGAAUGUCAGCAUAAAUAUUGAUUUUAAAAACAACUUGAAUUGUCUGACUUGUUUAAGAAGUUUUAUUUCCAAAUAAGCAAAAGAAAAUAAUUUCAAGAAUUUGAAUAUUAUAUAAUGCAUUUGGGGAAAUAUAUUUAGAGGUGUUCAAAUAAUUGUUGUUGAUAGUUAAAGUCAUGUAACCCUGAAUUAACAUAUUCUACAUAUUAUAUAAACUGUACCAAGGGUAAUUUUGCUUCAGGACAAGUCAAAGGCAAUGAUAGUCUUAUGUAUAUAUUUUGAUAUCUCCAUAGAUAGUUGGAAAGAAUAUUUAUCUUAACAUGAAUUUGGAAGUUUUGACCAGUAUGAGUCUUGACACUUUAUUUUAUUUUAUCUUAUUUUAUUAUUUUUUUGAGACAGAAUCUCACUCUGUUGCCAGGCUGGAGUGCAGUGGCUGUGAUCUUGGCUCACUGCAACCUUCAUCUCCUGGGUUCAAGCAAUUCUCCUGCCUCAGCCUCCCAAGUAGCUGGGAUUACAGGUGCAUGCUACCACACCCAGCUAAUUUUUGUAUUUUUAGUAAAGACGGGGUUUCACCAUGUUGGCCAGGCUGGUCUCAAACUCCUAAUCUCAGGUUAUCCUCCUGCCUCGGCCUCCCAAAAUGCUGGGAUUACAGGUGUGAGCCACUGCACCCAGCCAACACUUUAAUUCUUGAACAGAUAUUUUGGGGAGGACCAAAAUCAUGGAAAAUUUUAGUACCAGAAAAUUUAUGGAACUUACUCUAUAUUUUAUCCAAGGGGGAAAAAAAAAGAAAAACUGGAAAAAGAUUUAUCAAAUGGGAGAUAAAAUGUAAAUGUUCUGAUUACGUCAUACAAAACAUCUGUUUAUUCGGCAUUAAAAAUAACACUCAAGUAAAUUUCAAAACAAAUUACUUAUACUAUAUAUCACAAAUAUAAUGCAGUGACACUGGGAAUUAAUAAUAAAUAAACAAACAGAAAUGUUGAAAUUAACAAAUACUCUCCGAUUGAGUUCAGAAGAAUGCUAAGGCCAAGAAGUAAAUGCUGGAGGCUGGCACGGCCCUUGAAACAUUUGAAGGGAGCCUCACAUUCUGGCUACCACUCUGGAAAGUGUUCCUGUGACAGAGUCUGCACCAAGUGGAGAAAAUGCAGCAAGAAGAGUGACUUUCAAUCCAUUGACGUAAUAAAGGCCAUUUCCAGGUGAAAAGUGUGAAAAGUGGGGACACUGUUGUGACUGUCUUUGGCUCUCACAUGAAACAUUUUAAAUUAUCCCCUUUGGCAAAGAGAAGUUGUUAACUACAAAUGUGGCUGUCUCCGUCUUCCUCGUAAGAAAUCCCCCAAGAAACCAUUAAAUAGUCAAGAUAACUUAUGCUAAAUUUAAACUUUUUCAAUAAAACUUCAUCUUGG